GCCUGGGUGGCUCAGUCGGGUGAGCGUCCGACUUCAGCUCAGGUCACGAUCUCAGGGCUCGUGAGUUCGAACCCCGCAUCAGGCU
rnacentral:tRNA from 1 species